UUGACCUCAAAUCAGGUAGGACUACCCGCUGAACUUAAGCAUAUCAAUAAGCGGAGGAAAAGAAACUAACAAGGAUUCCCCUAGUAACUGCGAGUGAAGCGGGAAAAGCUCAAAUUUAAAAUCUGAUGGUCCUUGUGGCUAUCCGAGUUGUAAUCUAGAGAAGUGUUAUCCGCGCUGGACCGUGUACAAGUCUCCUGGAACGGAGCGUCAUAGAGGGUGAGAAUCCCGUCUUUGACACGGACUACCAGGGCUUAUGUGAUGCGCUCUCAAAGAGUCGAGUUGUUUGGGAAUGCAGCUCUAAAUGGGUGGUAAAUUCCAUCUAAAGCUAAAUAUUGGCGAGAGACCGAUAGCGAACAAGUACCGUGAGGGAAAGAUGAAAAGAACUUUGGAAAGAGAGUUAAACAGUACGUGAAAUUGUUGAAAGGGAAACGCUUGAAGUCAGUCACGUUGGCCAGGGAUCAACCUUGCUUUUGCUUGGCGUACUUUCUGGUUAACGGGUCAGCAUCAAUUUUGACCGGUGGAUAAAGGUCAGGGGAAUGUGGCAUCUUCGGAUGUGUUAUAGCCCUUGGUUGCAUACAUCGGUUGGGAUUGAGGAACUCAGCACGCCGCAAGGCCGGGUUUAACCACGUACGUGCUAGGAUGCUGCUA
rnacentral:rRNA from 1 species